CCAAACCACUGCAUGAAAACACUGUAGCAGAAAUUCUGCAAGCCUUGCAGAAAGUAUUUCCCCACAUAGAGGUUGCACUGAAGAAGAACCAACAGCAAGAAAUGCUUAUGAUCAGCCGACAUCUUGCAGGCCACGUUUCUUAUUAGUCGGAGAGCCAGGAUAUUGGUACGCUUCUCAUCUGGCACCUGCAGUAAUACACACCCUGGAAAAGUUUCCAGUUUACACACUAGACCUCCCCACUUUGUUUAGUAGCAUCAGGUCUCCAGAAGAAAUGUGUGCACAGCAAAUAUCACGCAAUGGAUUUCAAGAAUGACUCAGAUGUUUUUCAUGAGAUUUUUGUGACCUAAUGCAUAAAAGGAAAAAAAUCCUCCAG